GAUGAACGCUGGCGGCGUGCCUAAUACAUGCAAGUCGAGCGAACGGACGAGAAGCUUGCUUUUCUGAUGUUAGCGGCGGACGGGUGAGUAACACGUGGAUAACCUACCUAUAAGACUGGGAUAACUUCGGGAAACCGGAGCUAAUACCGGAUAAUAUUUUGAACCGCAUGGUUCAAAAGUGAAAGACGGUCUUGCUGUCACUUAUAGAUGGAUCCGCGCUGCAUUAGCUAGUUGGUAAGGUAACGUCUUACCAAGGCAACGAUGCAUAGCCGACCUGAGAGGGUGAUCGGCCACACUGGAACUGAGACACGGUCCAGACUCCUACGGGAGGCAGCAGUAGGGAAUCUUCCGCAAAGGGCGAAAGCCUGACGGAGCAACGCCGCGUGAGUGAUGAAGGUCUUCGGAUCGUAAAACUCUGUUAUUAGGGAAGAACAUAUGUGUAAGUAACUGUGCACAUCUUGACGGUACCUAAUCAGAAAGCCACGGCUAACUACGUG
rnacentral:rRNA from 1 species